rnacentral:rRNA from 1 species
GAUGAACGCUGGCGGCGUGCUUAACACAUGCAAGUCGAACGGACAGGCCCUGCUUUUGUGGGGUGCUCGAGUGGCGCACGGGUGAGUAAAACGUGAGUAUACUGCACUUGACUUUGGGAUAACUCCAGGAAAAUGGGGCUAAUACAGGAUAGGAGAUACUGCAGCAUGGUGGGGGUUGGAAAGUUUCGGCGGUUGGGGCUGGAAUCGAGGCUUAUCCGCUAGUUAGUGGGGUAGUGGAUGACAAAGGCUAUGAAGGGUAGGCGGCCUUAGAGGGUGACCGGCCUCAAGGGGACUAAGAGACGGCCCAGACGCCUACGGGAGGCAGCAGUGGAGAGUAUUGCGCAAUAGGCCGAAGCCUGAUGCAGCGAUGCCGCGUUCGUGAUAAUGUCCUACUGGUUGUAAACCACUUUCUCCGUUGACAAGGCGGUAUUGACGGUAAUGAGUAAGGAAGCACCGGCUAACUACGUG